rnacentral:rRNA from 1 species
GUGCCAGCAGCCGCGGUAAUACAGAGGGUGCAAGCGUUGUUCGGAAUUAUUGGGCGUAAAGCGCGUGUAGGCGGCCUAGCAAGUCGGGUGUGAAAGCCCUCAGCUCAACUGAGGAAGUGCGCCCGAAACUGCUGGGCUUGAGUGCCGGAGAGGGUGGCGGAAUUCCCCAAGUAGAGGUGAAAUUCGUAGAUAUGGGGAGGAACACCGGUGGCGAAGGCGGCCACCUGGACGGCAACUGACGCUGAGACGCGAAAGCGUGGGGAGCAAACAGGAGUAGAUACCCUAGUAGUCC